rnacentral:rRNA from 1 species
GUCUACUGCCGUGCCACCCUAAACAAACCCGAUCCCAUCUGAUCUCAGAAGCUAAGCAGGGUCGGGCCUGGUUAGUACUUGGAUGGGAGACCACAUAGAAAGACCAGGUGCUGUAGGCG